rnacentral:rRNA from 1 species
AUUGAACGCUGGCGGCAGGCCUAACACAUGCAAGUCGAGCGGGGUUUUCGGACCUAGCGGCGGACGGGUGAGUAAUGCGUAGGAAGCUGCCCGAUAGAGGGGGAUACCAGUUGGAAACGACUGUUAAUACCGCAUAAUGUCUACGGACCAAAGUGUGGGACCUUCGGGCCACAUGCUAUCGGAUGAGCCUACGUGGGAUUAGCGAGUUGGUGAGGUAAUGGCUCACCAAGGCGACGAUCGCUAGCUGGUUUGAGAGGAUGAUCAGCCACACUGGAACUGAGACACGGUCCAGACUCCUACGGGAGGCAGCAGUGGGGAAUAUUGGACAAUGGGCGCAAGCCUGAUCCAGCCAUGCCGCGUGUGUGAAGAAGGCCUUCGGGUUGUAAAGCACUUUCAGCGAGGAGGAAGGGGUGUGUGUUAAUAGUACACACCUUUGACGUUACUCGCAGAAGAAGCACCGGCUAACUCUGUGCCAGCCGCCGCUGUAAAAC